GUAUGGGAAGCUCAAUGGAACGUAUUAAGUAGGGCGGGACACGUGAAAUCCUGUCUGAAGAUCGGGGGACCACCCCCGAAGGCUAAGUACUCCUUACUGACCGAUAGCGAACCAGUACCGUGAGGGAAAGGUGAAAAGCACCCCGACGAGGGGAGUGAAACAGUACCUGAAACCGAACGCCUACAAUCAGUCGGAGCUUG
rnacentral:rRNA from 1 species